rnacentral:rRNA from 1 species
AGUGAACGCUGGCGGUAGGCCUAACACAUGCAAGUCGAACGGCAGCACAGUAAGAGCUUGCUCUUACGGGUGGCGAGUGGCGGACGGGUGAGGAAUACAUCGGAAUCUACUUUUUCGUGGGGGAUAACGUAGGGAAACUUACGCUAAUACCGCAUACGACCUACGGGUGAAAGCAGGGGAUCUUCGGACCUUGCGCGAUUGAAUGAGCCGAUGUCGGAUUAGCUAGUUGGGGGGGUAAAGGCCCACCAAGGCGACGAUCCGUAGCUGGUCUGAGAGGAUGAUAAGCCACACUGGAGCGGAGACACGGUCCAGACUACUACGGGAGGCAGCAGUGGGGAAUAUUGGACAAUGGGCGCAAGCCUGAUCCAGCCAUACCGCGUGGGUGAAGAAGGCCUUCGGGUUGUAAAGCCCUUUUGUUGGGAAAGAAAAGCAGCAGGUUAAUACCCCGCUGUUCUGACGGUACCCAAAGAAUAAGCACCGGCUAACUUCGUG